GCGGAAACCACUAGACAGCAAAUAUAGUUGUACAAAUUCUACUGCAGAGCUCUCUUGUUCAUCAAAAUCCCAAUUCAAUUUCCCCUUUAAAUUCAAUUCUGUUAACUGGAUUUUCAAGAAACUCUGUACCCUGUAAUGGUUUUGCUCGUUGAAGUUUACUGGAAAAAAUUUGGAUCAAUUCGAUGAAAAACCAGGUUCCAUUCUCAUGAGUUCAAAUAUAUCAAGAAGGAUCUUUAAUGGAGCAUUGUUCUGGAGAAAAUGCUGAUAUAACUGAAUGGGAGAUUGACGACUAUAAAGAAAAAUCUUAUGUAGAGCUGAAGUGUGGAAAUCAAUCUUUUAAGAUAUCAAAUGUGGCUUACACUUGUCCCUAUUGUCCAGAGAAAAGAGGGCGUCACCUUUUCUAUGAAGAUCUCUUGCAACAUGCAAGUGGAAUAGGAAAGUCUACAAUACGAACUGCAAGAGAUAGGGCCAAGCAUCUUGCAUUGGCCAAGUACUUGGAAAGCGACGUAGCAGGUGCAGUUGGUCCAUCAAACUCUAGUAAAGAGCUGAAGAGUGGAACUCAGUCUUUUAGGAUAUCAGAUGUAGCUUUUCCUUGCCCCUAUUGUCCGGAGACAACAAAAAGAGAUUUUUCUUAUAAGGAUCUCUUGCAGCAUGCAAAUGGAAUAGGAAGCUCCAACUCUUUGAAGCGAACUGCAAGAGAUAAGGCGGACCAUCUUGCAUUAUUCAAACGCUUGGAAAGUGAUGUAGCAGCUUCUACCAGUUCAGCAAAAUCUUAUGAAGAGCCGAUGAGUAGAAAUGAACCUAAGAUAUCAAAUAGGACUUUUGCUUGUCCCUAUUGUUCGGAGACAAGAGAAAGAAAAUUUUCUUAUAAGGAUCUCUUGCAGCAUGCAAAUGGAAUAGGAAGCUCCAAAUCUAUCAAGCGAAGUGCAAAAGAUAAGGCGAACCAUCUUGCAUUAGUCAAGCACUUGGAAAAUGAUGUAGCAGGUUCUACCAGUUCAUCAAAGUCUUAUGAAGAGUGGAGUGGUUCUCUUAAGAUAUCAAAUAUGGCUUUUGCUUGCCCCUACUGUCCAGAAACAAGAAACAGACAUUUUUCGUACAUAGAUCUCUUUCAGCAUGUAAAUAGUGUAGGAACCUGUAACUCUAUAACGCGAACUGCAAGUGACAGGGCCAACCAUCUUGCAUUAGCCAAGUCCGUGGAAGAUGAUGUAGCAGCUGGUAAAUUAAAAUCUUAUGAAGGGUUGAAGAGUGGAAAUAACUCUUUAAAGAUAUCAGAUGUGACUUCUGUUUGUGCCUAUCCAGAGACGAGAAACAGAAAUUCUCCGUACAAGGAUCUGUUGCAGCAUGCAAGUGGAGUAGGAAGCAGUAAUUCUAAGAAGCAAACUGCAAGAGAUAAAGGCGACCAUUUUGCAUAUGCCAAGUACUUGGAAAGUGAUGUAGCAAGUGCAUCAAAAUCUUAUGAAGAGUCAGCAAGUGGAAAACACUCUUUUAACAUGUCAGAUAGGACUUAUGCUUGUACCUAUUGUCCAGAGACGAGAAACAGAGAUUUUUCGUACAAUGAUCUCUGGCAGCAUGCACAUGGAGUAGGAAGCUGUGACUCUAAGAAACGAACUGCAACGGAUAAGGCUAACCAUCUUUCCUUGUCCAAGCACUUGCAAAAUUUUGCCAAGUACUUGGAAGAUGAUGUAUCGAGUGCUGCUAAUGCAUCAAUGCCUUAUGAAAGAUUGAAGAGUGGUAAUCACUCCUUUAACAAUCCAGAUGUGGCUUUUGCUUGCCCUUAUUGUCCAGAUACUAGAAACAAAGAUUUUUCAUACAAGGAUCUCUUGCAGCAUGCUGGCGGAGUAGGAAGCUGUAACUCUAAGAAGCGAACUGCAAGAGAUAAGGCCAAUCAUCUUGCAUUGGCCAAGUACUUGUCAAGUGAUGUUGCAGGUGGUCCUGGUAAAUCAAUAUCUUAUGAAGAGUUGAAGAGUGGAAAUAACUCUUUCAGCAUACCAAAUGGGGCUUAUACUUUUGCCUAUUGUCCAAAGAAAAGAAAGCAAGAUUGUUUGUAUAAGGAUCUCAUGCUGCAUGUCAGUGAAGCAGGAAAUUGUAGCUCCAAUAAGCGAACUGCAAAAGAUAUUACAUUUGCCAAGUUUUUCAGAAAUGAUGUAGCAGGUGCUGCCAGUCCAUCAAAGCCUGAUACUCUGGGUAAUCCUCAGGUUGAUUCCCUUGCAGAUCACGAUCUUUUGGAGAUGUUUGUGUGGCCGUGGAUUGGGGUUGUUGUGAACCUUCCCACUGAAUUUAAGGAUGGUCGCUAUGUAGGAGAAAGUGGUUCUAAUCUGAAGGAUCAGUUGAUAAGGAAAGGUUUCAAUCCAACACGAGUGCGCACUCUUUGGAAUGACCUAGGCCAUUCUGGAAUUGCUCUUGUUGAAUUCAAGAAAAAUUGGUUUGGGUUCAGCAAUGCCAUAUCAUUUGAGAAGGCCUACGUGGCCGAUGAUCAUGGGAAGAAGAAUUGGGAAGCCAAUAAUGACAAAAAAUCUGAUUUGUAUGCUUGGAUAGCUCGAGCUGAUGAUUAUCAGGCCACUAAUGUUGUUGGUGAAAAGCUCCGCAAAGUUGGAGACCUUAGAACUGUUUCUAGUAUCAUGGAAGAAGAAUCUCGCAAGAAUUGUACACUUGUUUCUAGUUUAACCAGUGCCAUUGAAGUCAAGAAGUUGCACAUAAAGGUGUUGGAGGACAAAUUACGGGAGACUGUCCAGUCUGUCGAACAGUUGAUUGUGGUGAAUGCUAAACUCCGUCAAGCAAACAAUGAAGAAAUAAAAAAGAUCCAGUCAAGUGCGCGUGAUCAUUUCCAGCAGACAUUUAUUAAUCAUGAAAAGUUGAAGUUGCAAAUGGAAACUCAAAAAAAGGAGCUUGAUCGCCGACAUGAAGAACUGCAGAAACGUGAAGCCCAAAAUGAAAUCGAUAGGAAAAAACUAUCUGAAGAAAAUGAAAAGAAUGCUAUCCUUAAAACAUCCCUUAGUGCUGCGGUUGAAGAGCAAAAGAAUGUUGAUGCAAAAGUACUGAAAUUGGCAGAAGAACUAAAGAAACAAAACGAGGAACUUCAUAAGAGAAUUGUUAAGCUUGAGAAACAACUCAAUGCAAAACAAGCUAGUGAAACAGAAUUAGAGCAAUUGCGAGUGAUUAUUAAGCACAUUGAAGAGGAAGGCGAUCAGGAAGUUCUGGAAAACGUUGACACACAUCUUAAAUGUUUAAGAGAAAAGGAAGAAAAAUAUGAAGAAUUAGUGUCAUUGAACCAAACCUUAAUUGUGAAGGAGCGAAAGAGCAAUGAUGAGCUGCAGGAAGCACUUAAAGAAUUGGUUAAUGGCUUGAAGGAAUUACCUAGAAGAGGUCCUAUUGGUGUUAAGAGGAUGGGAGAGCUCAACAGCAGACCAUUCUUUGAAGCAGUGAAGAGGAGAUAUAAUGAGGUAGACGCUGAGCAGAUAGCUUCUGAGUUAUGCUCGUUGUGGGAGGAGUACCUUAGAGACCCUGAGUGGCAUCCCAUUAAAGUUGUUGCCGUAAAUGGGAAACAUAAGGCUGUAAUAGACGAUGAAGAUGAAAAACUGAAAGAGCUGAAGAGAACUUACGGUGAGGAUGUGUAUAAAGCUGUUACAACCGCUUUGACUGAGAUUAAUGUAUAUAACCCAAGUGGAGGAUACAUCAUUUCGAAGUUGUGGAAUUAUGAAACUGGUGAGAAAGCUACUCUGCAAGACGGAGUUACUGUGCUACUAAACCUCUGGAAAAAGAAAAUGACACUCAACUGAAUGUCAUUAGGUACCACCUUUCUCUUGCUACGAUAUUUUUCAUCGCUAACAACUUCACAUUUGAAGGAUAUGAGUUUGAACACCAAAUAUCGAAAGUAGACAAAAAGAAAAUGAUUACAGCGGAAUACCUGUAAAGGUUAGAGGAGCAUUGGAAAAUAUGAAGCCUAAGUUGGUGAGGAGCACGAGCUGCUUAAACACAGAAAAAAUAGAUGUUCAGUACCCAGACAAAGAGUUGAUUGAAGAUGAUUUACAAACAUAAGUUGAAGUUCAAAACAUUCAAUAAUUGCCAUUAGAAUAUAGAUCUUAAUCUUAUCUUUUUAGUCUUCUAAUUUUCUUAGAAAAUUUGUUUGAUGUAACAAUAUCUAUGGAGUAUCAUGUUGUUCUUGUUAGAGAUUUACAUGCCAACAGAAAAAAAUGUUGAGAACUCGUGCUAGAUAAUCCUUUUCGUUAUAUUUGA